rnacentral:rRNA from 1 species
CCUGGCGCGAUUGGAUGAGCCCACGUCGGAUUAGCUAGUUGGCGGGUAAAGGCCCACCAAGGCGACGAUCCGUAGCUGGUCUGAGAGGAUGAUCAGCCACACUGGAACUGAGACACGGUCCAGACUCCUACGGGAGGCAGCAGUAGGGAAUAUUGGACAAUGGGCGCAAGCCUGAUCCAGCCAUGCCGCGUGAGUGAAGAAGGCCCUCGGGUUGUAAAGCUCUUUUGUCCGGAAAGAAAAGCGCCGGGUUAAUACCCUGGUGUCCUGACGGUACCGGAAGAAUAAGCACCGGCUAACUUCGUG